AUUGAACGCUGGCGGCAGGCCUAACACAUGCAAGUCGAACGAGUGGCGGACGGGUGAGUAAUGUCUGGGAAACUGCCUUAUGGCGGGGGAUAACUACUGGAAACGGUAGCUAAUACCGCAUACCAUCAGAGGUGCCCAGAUGGGUGGAGCGUGUUGGGGGGGUAACGGUUCACCAAGGCGACUAUCCCUAGCUGGUCUGAGAGGAUGACCAGCCACACGGGAACUGAGACACGGUCCAGACUCCUACGGGAGGCAGCAGUGGGGAAUAUUGCACAAUGGGCGCAAGCCUGAUGCAGCCAUGCCGCGUGUAUGAAGAAGGCCUUCGGGUUGUAAAGUACUUUCAGCGGGGAGGCGUUACCCGCAGAAGAAGCACCGGCUAACUCCGUGCCAGCAGCCGCGGUAAUUC
rnacentral:rRNA from 1 species